rnacentral:rRNA from 1 species
UACGUAGGGGGCAAGCGUUGUCCGGAAUCAUUGGGCGUAAAGAGCGUGUAGGCGGCUCGGUAAGUCCGCUGUGAAAGUCCAGGGCUCAACCCUGGAAUGCCGGUGGAAACUGUCGAGCUCGAGUCCGGAAGAGGCGAGUGGAAUUCCUGGUGUAGCGGUGAAAUGCGCAGAUAUCAGGAGGAACACCAAUGGCGAAGGCAGCUCGCUGGGACGGUACUGACGCUGAGACGCGAAGCGUGGGAGCAAACAGG